UAUGCUGAUUGGGCAUGGGAUUUCCAGAAAGAUUGGUCCAAAGCAGAACAUGCCAAUUGAACACGGUUUCCUUGAGAAGACCAAUUCAAAGCAAAACCAGUAAACACGGCACUAGCGCACAAUAUUCGGUGCAGAUUGCAAGAGAAACCCCGUAAAACAAAAACAAAAACGCUGCACUGGAAUUGGUUGCUGAAGCAAUUGACUUUGUCAUACCUGAUACUGCACUGUUACUGCUAGUAUAUAAACAUCGGUAGCAUCAAAGCUCACAAGGGCACAGCUGCACACCGCUGCUAUUCCCAUACUCCAACGAUCACAGAUCCACAAUCUACUAAACUAACUAGCACCAUGGUUGCUGAGUGGUCAGUUGGGCUUUUCGACUGCUUUGGGGAUUUCCGCACCUGUUGCUUGACUUUCUGGUGCCCCUGUGUUACCUUUGGUCGUCUUGCUGGGAUUGUGGACAAAGGCUCCCCAUGUAGGUGUUUCACUUAGAAUUCGCGCUUGGGUUGAAGCAUAAAAAUCAUCGAUCUUUGUGGCUGAGUCUCCUUGUUUUCAGCAUGCUGCAUGAAAUGGGACCCUGUAUGUUUGCCUGGCUUGCGUAGGCUACAACUGGUUGUAUUCUUGUACCAAACGCUCGGCGAUGCGGUCGCGAUACAACUUGAAAGCAUCGCCCUGCAUGGACUGCUGUGUCCACUUCUUCUGUGAGAGUUGCGCGCUAUGCCAAGAGUACAAGGAGAUGGAAAACCGUGGCUUCAACAUGGCCAAAGGAUGGGAAGGUAGCAACAAGAUGGUGGGGUGUGUGCAAGGCAUGAAAGCACCUGGGAAGCAAGGGAUGUGUUUCUAGAACAUGUCUAUAAAAUGAUGCUCUUAGCUCUCCUGUUCUCUGUUAAUUUUCAUUUGAUGAUGUUCUACAACAUUCAAAGGGGAAAUAAAGGCAGGCCUAGUGACUUGCUCCAUUUGGUAAUCAAGUUGUUAAAUCUCCUUUUAUCUGUCCUUGUGAUUUUGAUUCAGUUUUCGUACUUCCAUUUAUGAUCUGUCACUUGAGAAGCAUUAUAUGGUUGUAGACUGUACUGAAGUUAGUGGCCUGUGAACUAAAAUGCAGUGCUCAAGCUGUAAAGCUAUGAAUCUCUUGACUCAAUACUGACUGCCGAACUGGCAUGGGGAAUAAAUAUGGGGCAUCCUGUAUGCUUAAGAUGAUUGAAGAAAAAUAUGAUAACAAAAAACUACACAACAAGCAAGAAAUUUCAAGAAAGAUUGGACAUAUACAGAUGCUCAUAAUUGCGAUGGCAAAAGAAAUCACACGAGAGGUAGUUCAGCCGCAUGAAACAUGAAACGUUGUCCUA